AGGACGAACGCUGGCGGCGUGCUUAACACAUGCAAGUCGAGCGGAAAGGCCCUUCGGGGUACUCGAGCGGCGAACGGGUGAGUAACACGUGAGCAACCUGCCCCUGGCUCUGGGAUAGCCUUCGGAAACGGGGAUUAAUACCGGAUAUUCACUGCUUCCUGCAUGGGGGGUGGUGGAAAGUUUUUCGGCUAGGGAUGAGCUCGCGGCCUAUCAGCUUGUUGGUGGGGUAACGGCCUACCAAGGCGACGACGGGUA
rnacentral:rRNA from 1 species